UACGGGGGGGGUAAGCGUUGUUCGGAAUUACUGGGCGUAAAGGGCUCGUAGGUGGCCAACUAAGUCAGACGUGAAAUCCCCAGGCUUAACCUGGGAACUGCGUCUGAUACUGGAUGGCUUGAAUUCGGGAGAGGGAUGCAGAAUUCCAGGUGUAGCGGUGAAAUGCGUAGAUAUCUGGAGGAAUACCGGUGGCGAAGGCGGCAUCCUGGACCGAGAUUGACACUGAUGAGCGAAAGCCAGGGGAGCAAACGGG
rnacentral:rRNA from 1 species